AUAAGAUAUCAAGGGCAACAGGUGAAUGCCUUGGCGCUGAGAGGCGAUGAAAGACGCGGUAAGCUGCGAUAAGCAUCGGGGAGGAGCUAAACAUCCUACGAUCCGAUGAUUUCUGAAUGGGGAAACCCGAUGGGAGUCAUGUCCCGUCAUCCUGAGCUGAAUAUAUAGGCCCAGAGAAGCCAACCCGGGGAAGUGAAACAUCUCAGUACCCGGAGGAAGAGAAAUCAAACGAGACUCCCAAAGUAGCGGCGAGCGAAAUGGGAAGAGCCCAAACCGGGUGGUUUCGACCAUUCGGGGUUGUAGGGCCGGCAUACGCGAUUCUGGAGUAGGCAGAGGAAGUGAGCUGGAAAGCUCCGCCACAGCGGGUGAUAGCCCCGUACUCGAAACCGAAAAGGACGCAGCCGGUACCUGAGUACUGCGAGGCACGUGGAACCUCGUGGGAAUCUAGGGGGACCAUCCUCUAAGGCUAAGUACUCCUCAGCGACCGAUAGUGAACUAGUACCGUGAGGGAAAGGUGAAAAGAACCCCUGUUAGGGGAGUGAAAUAGAAUCUGAAACCUGUUGCCUACAAGCUGCGAGAGCUGCUUUUUGCAGUGAUCGCGUGCCUUUUGUAUAAUGAGUCAGCGAGUUACUCUACCGUGCGAGGUUAAGCGAAAGCGUAGCCGUAGUGAAAGCGAGGCUUAAUAGGCCGACUAGUACGUUGGAGUAGACCCGAAACCGGGUGAUCUAUCCAUGAGCAGGUUGAAGCAAGGGUAAAGCCUUGUGGAGGACCGAACCGUCAACGGCUGAAAACGUUCCGGAUGACUUGUGGAUAGGGGUGAAAGGUCAAUCAAACCCGGUGAUAGCUGGUUCUCCCCGAAAUAUAUUGAGGUAUAGCCUCGGGAAUUGAUUAGCGGAGGUAAAGCACUGACAGAGCUAGGGGUCCUACCAGAUUACCAAACUCUAUCAAACUCAGAAUGCCGCUUAAUCGUAUCCCGGGAGUCAGACGGCGGGUGCGAAGGUUCGUCGUCAAAAGGGAAACAGCCCAGACCAACAGCUAAGGUCUCCAAAUCCAUGCUCAGUGGUGAAGGUAGUGGAACCGUUUAGACAGCCAGGACGUUGGCUUAGAAGCAGCCAUCGUUUAAAGAAAGCGUAAUAGCUCACUGGUCUAAUGGCUCUGCGCCGAAAAUGUAACGGGGCUAAGCAUGGUACCGAAGCUUUGGCAAUCCCCUUUGGGGAUUGGGUAGGGGAGCGUUCGCUGCGGGCUGAAGGUGUGCCGGAAGGCAUGCUGGACUGCAGUGAAGUGAUUAUGCUGACAUGAGUAACGAUAAAAUAUGUGAAAAACAUAUUCGCCGAAAACCCGAGGUUUCCUGGGUAAAGGUAAUCUUCCCAGGGUUAGUCGGAUCCUAAGGUGAGGGUGAAAGCCGUAACCGAUGGAAAACAGGUUAAUAUUCCUGUACUUGUUGUGUAGCGCGAUGGAGGGACGCAGGAAGAUAGGCGGGCCGGGUGUUGGAUAUCCCGGUGCAAGCGUGUAGGAAUAUCCGGUAGGCAAAUCCGCCGGACGAAUCUGAGACGCGAGUCCGUGGGCGCAAGCCCUGAAGCCGUUGAGUCUAUGCUGCCUAGAAAAGCUCCUAAGUUUAUCCACAGCAAUCCGUACCGCAAACCAACUCAGGUGGGUGGGAUGAACAAUCCAAGGCGCUCGAGAGAACUCUGGCCAAGGAACUCGGCAAAAUAACCCCGUAACUUCGGAAGAAGGGGUGCUCUCUAGGGUGACAUGUUUAACAUAUGAAGCCCCGGGGAGCCGCAGUGAAUUGGUGGUGGCGACUGUUUACUAAAAACAUAGGUCUGUGCGAAGUCCUAAAGACGACGUAUACGGACUGACGCCUGCCCGGUGCUGGAAGGUUAAAAGGAGGGGUCAGCGCAAGCAAAGCUCCGAAUUGAAGCCCCAGUAAACGGCGGCCGUAACUAUAACGGUCCUAAGGUAGCGAAAUUCCUUGUCGGGUAAGUUCCGACCU
rnacentral:rRNA from 1 species